AUUGAACGCUGGCGGCAGGCCUAACACAUGCAAGUCGAGCGAGCGGCGGACGGGUGAGUAAUGUAUGGGGACUGCCCGAUAGAGGGGGAUAACUACUGGAAACGGUGGCUACUACCGCAUACUAUCGGAUAACCCAUAUGGGAUUAGCUAGUAGGUGUGGUAAAGGCUCACCUAGGCGACGAUCUCUAGCUGGGCUGAGAGGAUGAUCAGCCACACGGGGACUGAGACACGGCCCAGACUCCUACGGAGGCAGCAGUGGGGAAUAUUGCACAAUGGGCGAAAGCCUGAUGCAGCCAGGCCGCGUGUAUGAAGAAGGCCUUCGGGUUGUAAAGUACUUUCAGUAGGGAGGCGUUACCCGAAGAAGAAGCACCGGCUAACUCCGUGCCAGCAGCCGCGGUAAUUC
rnacentral:rRNA from 1 species